UGAAUAGAAAAAAAAAGUGGUAAAUGUCGGCUGCGAAUGUUUGGAAAUUGAUCGAACGAAAAUCGCCUUAACGUUAAACAAAUGAAUUUAACGUAAUUUAUUGAAAUAAAUCGUUUGGUUUUUGUGUAAAUAUCAUUUUUUUUCUUUACAAGAAGAGAUUAAACAGAUUCUGUUCAGCUGGCAAGACAAGGAGAGCAAUCAACUUGUGAUAACUUCAUGUGUUGGUCGAGUCUCCUUUUGAGAAUAAGAAGAUUUCACAUGAUUGACAUUGCCAGAAAAAACAUGUCUCUGACUGUGCAUCAAAUUCUGAACGACGCCAAGCGUCUAGUGACCCGACUGCGAGACCACGAUAAUACUGCAGAUACUAUAAUUGCUCAAGCACAGUCACUCAAUAAGACUGUGGAAAGCAUGAAUGAAUAUAAUGAAGAUCUGGCCGAAUUAAACACAUCUAUUCAGCAGCGUCCCCGUUCUUCUCUGAUCCUAAAUAUUCAGCAAGAGAACAGACACAUUAGAGAACUCCAGCAGGAAAAUCGUGAAUUAAGAAAUAUGCUGGAAGAAUAUCAAUCUGUUUUGGAACUAAUCAUGAGCAAAUAUCGUCAGCAGGUUACUAAACUCGUUCAGUCUACAUCGGUCGACCGUGCUUGGGGCGAACUAGAUAAUUAUAAGGAAUUACAAGAACAGGCAGACAGAAUUUGUGAUAUGGCAGCAAUUAUCAAACAAGCCAUAGAAAUAGACGAUGGUAAUUACGCUUACGAACAGGAACGUUUGACACAACUCCUAACGGAAAACAAAGGACUGAGAGAAUUGCUGGAAAUAAGUCGCACUUCAGGAUCGCUAGGACGACCGUCAAAUGCACCGGAUACCACAGAGAAAGAAGUACAGACCGACACAUGACCAUUUUAUUGAUUGGGAGAAUUGCAUUUUUUCAGUGCAUGAAUUAAUGUUACUACUGUAUAUUACACACUACUAUACUGUAUAUUAUACAUGUUGUCAUCACUACAGAAACCUGAUCAGAGAAAAAAAAUUUGUUGAGAAGUAUUUAAUAAGGCAGCAAAUUACUUUUAAUGAAUUUAUAUUGUUUUAAAAAUUAUUUAGGAAUUUAAAAGGUACAAAAUGUUUUCUAAAUAUGCUACUUAGAUAAAAUAUACAGUAUAUUACUAAUUUAAAAAUCAGAAGAUACAUAUUUAAUCUUUGAAAAGGAAAAAUGUGAUUUUUUUUUAAUGUUUCUAAGUCAGUUUAUUGAUUUUCUUUUGGUCAUUCAAUAAAAUAUUCAUUGCCAUUGAUAUCGGCAGUUUACAACGUCAUUAAAAUAAAAAUAAGUUUUAAAUUAAUGUAAAUAAAAUUUAAAAAAUUUGAAACAUCUAUAAAAUUUUUUAUAUCAUCUUUAAAUUCCAGUAAUUAUUUUUGAAGGGAAAAGGAACCAAACAAUAUACACUGCCAUUUUGGAGGACAAAUAUAUUGCUUUGUACAAACGUAGCCGCAAGAUUUGUAAAUAGGUCGCUCGUAAGAGUUUCAGGAAUGAUUAGCGAUAAUCACUUUAGUCAAAUUCACUUUCACGGAUUUAAAUAUUAGGCCCGAACAAAGAUUCAUUAUGAGAACAUUUUAGAAAAGAAUAAGAAUACAAAAGUGAACAUUGUGGUCCAAAACUUAAUGAAAAUGCUUGCAGCCUGUUGAUUUUGCCUUUUUCUACUAUUUGUAAUUUUGCCUAUCUAGUUUUAGACUUGUUGCAUGUCUUAGACAGUUCUUUUACAAUGUAAGCAACAGAAACAAAAUUUUGAUGAACAAGAUUAACAGUUUGUGGUCCGAGGAUCGUGACAAGAAUUUCAGAUGAUGAUACAAUAUUAUUUUGUUGCACUGUGUAAGAAAAGCUGCCACCUCUGAUAAACGACUGUGUCAACUUGCUUCUAAACAUAGCUUGUCAAGAAAAUGCCGAAAAUAAGAAAUGUGUGAGACAAAUAUAGUUUACUAGUCGAGUACAGUCUAUGAAGCACAAGGUAAAUAAUUCCAGUUUAAUUUGGAUUUAAUAGCUACAUUAAUAGUUGCAGAUAUUCCAAUGUGGAAACUGACGGAUUUCUUCAAAUGUACACUGGAUGGGAAUGUUAUAAACAAUUAUUGUUCCUGACGUGACCCUAAGACCAGUGCUAAUGCACUUAUGCAGAGUGAGCCAAAAGUCCCCAAAUCUUUGAUUUUAAUAUUUUUUAUGUUGAUGUUAACAUGUAAUUUCUAAAAUCAUUGCCUUACUUACAUCUUAAAAGCAUGUAAAGACAAUAACAAUAUCACUAAGCUUUUAAUUAAAUUAGCUUUGCAAAGGACAAAUUCCAAACCUUGCCAGACCUUUCUCCUUCCUCAGACAUGCUGGUUCUCUAACCAGCACCAGUUUCCUAUUGGCUCUCCAAUGUCAUAAUGCAGCAUACACAUGCAUGUCUCACAAAUCAUAUGAGCAAUGCAUAGGGAGAGUGCAUAAUUUCAAAUAGUGCCCUCCCAGAUCUCCCGAUUUAUCAUCAUCCAUUUCUUCCGUUAGGAUUAUCUAAAGGAAUAAGUUUACAUGGAAAAUCUGAGAGACCCGUAGUCAUUGAAAAGGAACACUGCCGCUACCUUCAAUAAUAUUUCUCAAAUCAUGAUAAAAUGUGUAGCUACAAACAGGUGCAUGUAUAUUUGCACUUGCAGGAACAUGAUGGACACUUCCAAAAUCAUCUGUGAGUGUUUUCAAAGCCCAAGGAAUCAGAAAACAGAUAUGAUAUAUAAACUUUUUUAUUUAAAUAAAAGAAGUUUUUUCAAAAAAUGGUUCUUUUCUGGGAAUUUUGGCUCACUUUGUAUUUCCAUAAACAUUAUGAUGCCGAUUUUAGUAUUCCUUCCAGUUUGGCAUUUGAGACAGUUACCUGUCUGCCUCUAUUCACGCAGUCCUGAUAUAGGAUGUUACAGCUCAUAAGCACGUGUCCUUAAUUAGUUCUUAAAUCCUUUGUGAAUGUUAGACAUACGUCUAACAUUCAUAAAGGAUUUAAGGAGUAAUAUAAAUGAGUUAAUUGAUAAUACUAUGAACAGUACAGCCAGAAAUAUGCUAAUGUAAUUGGCAUUUUAGACAAAUUUCACCUCAAAAACCCUGUAUCAACUAUAGGAAUUCUAGAAAAUAUUGGCAUGCAAGUGUUCUGUUUACUUGUGAAAUGUCAACUCUGGCUUGUAGGUGGCAAAACAAAUUGUUUGGUGUUGAUGCAGCACAAUAUAUGGUGGUCAUUCUAUUAAGGUUGUCCCCAAGUGAUAUAUUUGAUAGGUCUAGUUCAUGCUCUGCAAGAGGUUGUUGAGAAGACAAAGAAUCCUUAUCCUGAAAUGCAUUACAUUGUUGCAGUCAUCAAGAAAUUGUGUUAUACAUGUCAGUCAUGUCAAAAUUCGUUACAUUACAACUACUUUUGACAUUUUAUGAGUUGAGUUUUUUGAACUAGAAAAGAAUGGAGACCUACAGAUUCAGUUUUUUGGAUGUUGAGACAGGAUAGUCUAAACUUAAAUCUGUUGGUGGAAUGGUUAACUGAUCAAAUUUUAAUGGAAAAUCCUGGGUAGAAAACAUUUGGACAAGAUUACAGCUCUGAAUGAGGUGAGUAGGACUCUCCCAGACAAAAAGUUGGAAGACUUGACACCGGAUGACCGAAAAGUCAAAAGAACCAUAUCUAAUUGUGACUCUUAAAUAUUUGUCUCCAGUUUUGUUACUUCACUUCUGGUUAAGGCCAGAUAUAUCCAAAAUAGGACAUCAAGUUUUUUGAGUGUGUGGUUAGGUGCCAGGAAAUGACUUGUGGCAAUUGGAUGGUUGAAAAAAUAUACAAUUUUUCUAGUGUGCUGAGAUUAUAGCCCCCUUCUGUCACUAUUGUCUCCUUUCCAGAUUGCCUCUGCCCAUUCUCUCCUUGGACUACAUUAUGCAGCAUUGUCAUAUCUUUUAUAAUUACAAAUUACUUCUCAGCCCAUCCAUGGUAUCAUCUUAGAAUUUGUUGCACCUUGACACCUCGAUAAUUGAAUAGUGGGUCAGGUGAUCAGAGCCCACCAAUGGCCAAAUGGAUAAAACUACUAGGCAUUGGUUAUGGAUUGGUGUCUCAUCAAGGGACUGGUCGUGGUUUUUAUGAGUUUGCUUCACUGUAAUUAUCUAAUAUCUAAAUAGGGGCCAAUUUCUCAGAAGAUGCUCCUGGGAGGCAUUCAUAUUCCUUGGCAGAUAGGAUAAGGCAAUACAACAUUUGGGCAGAUUGCCCAAGUACAUUGCAGUAUUUUGUUAAAAUCAAACUUAUUGAUUAUGUUGGCUCCAGCUGAAGUUAUAUAUGCCCUAUUCUUGGCCAAGAACUCUUGAAAAUGACAGAAAGCAAUUGGUCUACAACCCAAACAUACAACAAAGUUGUUGUUAAGCAGCGGGACAAUCUCUUACAGCAAUACAGCGAACCAAGAAAUCCACAUUGAAAAGUAACGUUACAUGUCAUUGAAGUUACUUAUCUCCGAGUUCCAAUGUUAAACAUUAGGAUUUAUGGGCUUCUAAUUUUGAUUUCUGAUUAUUCCACGUAAUAUUAAUGAAGAAUAUAUAAAAUGGAGAAAUUCUUUAAGCAAUCGGCAAGUGUUCACUAUGUUUUAAGAAACUUUGUGAUAUACCAAGUUUCUUGAAACAACAUAGUGAACACUUUCCUACUAAGUCCUUUCUUCAAAAAACUGUAGGAUGUUGCAUGUUUUUGCUAUUGAUUAUUGAAUUGCUAAUGACUGCUAUCAAAGUAAUCAAUAGCAAUUCAAAAUCUGAAAGUAUCAUUGGCAAUGUUAGAUGAAUUUUUAUUAAAUUACAAUGGAAACUACCUGCUUUUAGCUUUUAGUUCCAUUUCAUUGUUACGGCAAAACGUCCAAUGUCUCGAAACAUAUUUUCCAUCUGCCAGUGGAAAAAACAAUAAAACAAUUAAAAACAGAAUAGGGCAUUAGAGAGCAUGGGGGAUAAUUACCGCAAAUGCUAACGAAAAUUUUUGAAUUGAAAUAACGUGGCUUCUGGUUUACAUUGGAAGUUCUUAUACAGUUAAUCCUACCCCUAAGGUUUCCAUAUCUUGUCUCGUCUUUCGUCUAAAUAAUUCCGAUCUCGAGAUUAAGGAAAGACAGACGGACGACAAUGGGAAUUUAUAGGUCUGCAAUGUUUCGAAUUGCAGCCCAAUGAUUAUUGUAAGGUGUAAGCAUAAGAAUACUGGAUAUAACGAAUGACACAACGAAGACAGAUAUAUAGUAUUAAUUCUGGAGGAUGUGUAUUUCGGGCUGUAUGUUCGUCAUCAGUCCUCUAAUUAUAAAAACAUUACGAAAUUUAAUUUAUAGCUAAAAGUAUAUAGUUUUUUAUUUUCAUCUGCGAUAAGGUAAUAAAAUUUUUAAUUAAUUUAUUGUAUUUCUUACGAGUAUAAGGAUUGUCAAAGUAGUAUAUUUACCGUUUAAUUUUCUAAUUCUGUAUUUUUUAAAAUUAAUUACGGAUUUUAUAAUUUACGUAUUAUCUGUGACACGUCUUAUUAAAAUCCAGUGGCCCCACUUAUAACCAUAACACGUCUAACUUCUGUCAUCCAGGGGCGUAUCCACAAGUUUCCAGAACGCGUUUUUGAAUUUGCCACACCAAGAGGAAUGUCUCAGCAGCUAUUAUAGUAGUGCUAGUUGUCAGUGUAGGUCUGCAACUUUUAGUUUUCCAUUUAUUUCUACGUGAUGAAAGUAAGAAGAGAAUAAUUAACCAGCCAUGCGUGUACAGUACAUCCAACUUUCCCAUCAUUAGAGACACAAGUCCAUACAGAAUGAUUACUUGUAGAUAAGAGAAAGGU